rnacentral:rRNA from 1 species
UACGUAGGGUGCAAGCGUUUGUCCGGAAUUAUUGGGCGUAAAGAGCUCGUAGGCGGUUUGUCGCGUCUGCUGUGAAAACCCGAGGCUCAACCUCGGGCCUGCAGUGGGUACGGGCAGACUAGAGUUCGGUAGGGGAGACUGGAAUUCCUGGUGUAGCGGUGAAAUGCGCAGAUAUCAGGAGGAACACCGGUGGCGAAGGCGGGUCUCUGGGCCGAUACUGACGCUGAGGAGCGAAAGCGUGGGGAGCGAACAGGA